CCAGGAGAAAAAAGUAGGAGUCAGAAACCCCAGGCAUAGGGCUCUGCCUCAUGAUGUACAGUCCCUUUCUACAACGUGGAGAAGAAGCUGGACCUUAUGUCUGCACCUGCAUAUUCCUACAACUUGUCAGAGUCCUUUGGGCAGUGACUGAGGAGAUAAACCAUGCAGGAAACAACG
rnacentral:snoRNA from 1 species